AUUGAACGCUAGCGGAAUGCUUUACACAUGCAAGUCGAACGGCAGCACGGACUUCGGUCUGGUGGCGAGUGGCGAACGGGUGAGUAAUGUAUCGGAACGUGCCCAGUCGUGGGGGAUAACGUAGUGAAAAUUACGCUAAUACCGCAUACGAUCUAUGGAUGAAAGCGGGGGAUCGCAAGACCUCGCGCGAUUGGAGCGGCCGAUAUCAGAUUAGGUAGUUGGUGGGGUAAAGGCCCACCAAGCCAACGAUCUGUACCUGGUCUGAGAGGACGACCAGCCACAAUGGAACUGAGACACUGUCCAAACGCCUACGGGAGGCAGCAGUGGGGAAUUUUGGACAAUGGGCGAAAGCCUGAUCCAGCCAUUCCGCGUGCAGGAUGAAGGCCCUCGGGUUGUAAACUGCUUUUGUACAGAACGAAAAGGUUUCUACUAAUACUAGGAGCUCAUGACGGUACUGUAAGAAUAAGCACCGGCUAACUACGUGCCAGCCGCCGCAGUAA
rnacentral:rRNA from 1 species